UUUUUUUUUUUUUUUUUUUUUUGUUGUUAUUCGACGCCUGGUGGGGUAAAAAAAGUCACAAGGGGAGGACUGGGCCCAGUGAAGCAUGAGCUAUUAUGUAACAGGCUGUUCUUUUCAUAUUUAGAACUUCUGGAAAAGCUAUUGGCGAAAGAAGAGCGUCCCGCGACUUUCACAUUUUGACCUUUCACCGGCUUGAGGGCGGGAGUAGAGAGGCUUUCAAAAUCGUGCGCACCCCACCCUUAGAAGGGAAGUUUAGGAACCACUAGGGUGCAGAAAAUCCCCCCUACCCCUCCCAUCUAGUUACUAUAGGCCUGUCAAGGUAGCUAGACCUCACAGUGUCCAUUUCUACUUUUGUUUUGACCAGCACAGCAUUACACGUGCUAUGCAGAGUUUUGUUGUUAUGUGAGUGAUUCGGUCUGUAGCAGUCAAAUCAAGAGAAAAUAGUCCGUGGCUGAUUCCUGCGCAACCUCAUCUAGCCAGUCACCAGACUUGGCAGUCUUUCGGUAAAUGUAUGAUAAACCUAGGGGCCUUCAUUUUACUGAAUUAUGUUGAAUUAUGUGAAAUUUCUGCUAAAAUAUCAGUCUCUAUGCCUCUGACUGUCUGGAUGUAAGGAGCGCUGUGAUUGGCUGCUGCAGACCACGUGGUCUGACCAUGCGCCAUAUAUGGGUUAAUGUUUCUUUAGGGUUCUGAAGGCUGAGGAGUGAUCACACAUCAUAAUUCAUCAUCCGUGGAUCUCUAUCCAUAGGAACUUAUACAGGGCAUAACAACACACGCUGGACACAUGAGUUCAUACUUCGUCAACUCGCUAACGACGUGCUACCGUCAAGGCGUCGGGGAUGGCGGAGGGGGGACAGAGAGGCCGUCGCGAGAUUACCCCCAGUCUGCCAGUCCACACUACCGGGCUUAUUCAAACGCAGGCUACUCCUACGGAUCUCCCG
rnacentral:antisense_RNA from 1 species